CAAUUUAUUAAAUCUAAUAUCAUGCUAUGUAUUCUUUCUUUUUAACAACUUUAACAGUAAUUACGUACAAAUUAAUUUUGUAACUAAAGUUUCGUUUGGGAUUGCGAAGAGAUUACGAUACGUACGGUAAGAAAAAUAUUUUAUUUGUUUCCGUACGUAAUAUUGCAUUUCGCAUAUCGCAAUGAGUCGGUUACGAUAUAUUUUCUACAGUUUAUUUUAUCUAAUUGCGUCAGAUAGAUUUCAAUACCAAACUAAGCAUAAGUUUUAUCGAAAAGCAUUUGUUAAAAGACUACUAUUCUUCUUUCAUUUUUAUUA
rnacentral:lncRNA from 1 species